UGACUUUUCUAAGGUGCUUCCAAGGUACUGAAGCUGCCUGCAGUACCAAGAAUUCACCAGGCAGAUCCAGAAUGGAGGUAGGGCAUAGUAGGCUCCUCAUACUGUCAUGAAAAAGUUGCGAGAAGGCUACCAGUAUAUAUGAAGCAAUAAAAUCAGAUGGAGUAGAGUACUUUUGCUGUUUGAUGUCUGUAUCCUUUCUCACUUCCAAUGUACAGGUUAGCUCUCAAGCCAGUGUAAUAUCUUAAUAGCAGCAAUACUUAGAACUGCUGUAAUCAGACCUCCCUUUGUGUUCACUGCCCAAAACCUGACCAGCUGCAAGAGGAAAUCCUCAUACCAGCUGUUGCUCAGGGGUGAAAUUAUCUGGAUUUAAGCUUGGAUGUAAUUUUUUAAAUCAAGGAACCAGAUUUUAAUGUAUGUCAUAUUCUGAAUGAAAAUAAGUUUUGAUAGAGUUCGCAUAAUCUUUUAAAUAUCAGUCUGGGAAGUGACAAAUUGUGGACAAAACCCAUACAGCUUGCUUUAAAGCAAAGUAAAAUACUAUAUAACCAACUGACAGAGCUUAAUAAUUGUUUUGUUUUCUGUCUGUUGAAAAGCUUCUCUUUACAAAUUUAGGUAAAAAAAGUAAUGCUGUAGUUCUUUCUGGGGUUUUAAACCUUUGUUUUCAUGUAGUAUACCUUUUACUAAUCAAUAAAUAGACCAGAUUAGCCCAGUUUUGAGAAAACCAUCUGGCCACUGUUUAUCUCUGAUCACAUGCUCCAGAAAGGAAAAGUGCAGGUAACAAGUUGCAUCAAACCAGCUGGAAUAAGUAUGAUUGAUGUAGACAGUAUAAUACCCAGAGUCUUGGUUUAAAACAGGAAGGACUGUGGCAUUUUGCACUACAUAAGACAGCUGGGCAUUCUCAAAGAAGCAUGGUAAGAGACCUGGUGGUCAGAAACAGUGUGAAAGUCUCUGUUUCUGUUUCCCCAGAGACAAGUACUUUGAAUGGAACCUAUGAAUAUUUCUGUGACGUCUAAUCAACAGCUAGACUGGUAAAGUACAGAUGUACAGUACAGAAAGUUCCAUAUGAACUUUGAAACUCACAUUGUUCUAAAUGGCACGAGAAUUUCACCAGAAAUGAAGAGCGAGCAGUCAUUGCAAAGGUAUUUAGACACUGUGCGGAGAAACAGAAGGCAAGAGGCCAUCUUACUCCCAUUAGAAGAUAAGCAACUGCGAGUUUGAAGAUUUGGUUGUGUCUUGGCCAAUACCGAGAAAAAAAGUGCAAUAAAAGGACUCUGUUUAAAUCUGCAGAAACUGAGAUCCAGCCCGAAGCAAGGCAGCAUGAAAAUAAGAAGCUGUGGAUCAAGCAGCUCACUGAGUGAGCUGGCCUCCUCAGCUGGACUGCCUGUUAGUCUUCGCUGAACGAAAACUGCUCACCUCACUGUGAAAGACGCAGCACAAAAGCUUGACGUAGACUUGAUUCCCUCAGUGUGACCUCUUGUAUUACCCGAGCAGAUGGAUGUCUCAUUUCUGGAUUCUGAUCAU